UCCACAAUGGGCGAAAGCCUGAUGGAUCAACGCCGCGUCAGUGCAGAAGGUUUUCGGAUCGUAAAACUCUGUUGUAAGGGAAGAACAAGUACAGUAGUAACUGGCUGUACCUUGACUGUACCUUAUUAGUAAGCCCCGGCUAACUACGUGCCAGCAGCCGCGGUAAUACGUAGGCGGCAAGCGUUGUCCGGAAUGAUUGGGCGUAAAGCGCGCGCAGGCGGUCCUUUAAGUCUGAUGUGAAAGACCACGGAUAAACCGUGGAGGGUCAUUGGAAACUGGGGGACUUGAGUGCAGAAGAGGAAAGUGGAAUUCCAAGUGUAGCGGUGAAAUGCGUAGAGAUUUGGAGGAACACCAGUGGCGAAGGCGACUUUCUGGUCUGUAACUGACGCUGAGGCGAGAAAGCGUGGGGAGCAAACAGG
rnacentral:rRNA from 1 species